rnacentral:rRNA from 1 species
AUUGAACGCUGGCGGCAUGCCUUACACAUGCAAGUCGAACGGCAGCAUAGGAGCUUGCUCCUGAUGGCGAGUGGCGAACGGGUGAGUAAUAUAUCGGAACGUGCCCUAGAGUGGGGGAUAACUAGUCGAAAGACUAGCUAAUACCGCAUACGAUCUACGGAUGAAAGUGGGGGAUCGCAAGACCUCAUGCUCCUGGAGCGGCCGAUAUCUGAUUAGCUAGUUGGUGGGGUAAAAGCCUACCAAGGCAACGAUCAGUAGCUGGUCUGAGAGGACGACCAGCCACACUGGGACUGAGACACGGCCCAGACUCCUACGGGAGGCAGCAGUGGGGAAUUUUGGACAAUGGGGGCAACCCUGAUCCAGCAAUGCCGCGUGAGUGAAGAAGGCCUUCGGGUUGUAAAGCUCUUUUGUCAGGGAAGAAACGGUAGUAGCGAAUAACUACUACUAAUGACGGUACCUGAAGAAUAAGCACCGGCUAACUACGUGCCAGCCGCCGCAGUAA